GAUGAACGCUGGCGGCGUGCCUAAUACAUGCAAGUCGAGCGAACGGACGAGAAGCUUGCUUCUCUGAUGUUAGCGGCGGACGGGUGAGUAACACGUGGAUAACCUACCUAUAAGACUGGGAUAACUUCGGGAAACCGGAGCUAAUACCGGAUAAUAUUUUGAACCGCAUGGUUCAAAAGUGAAUGACGGUCCUGCUGUCACUUAUAGCUGGAUCCGCGCUGCAUUAGCUAGUUGGUAAGGUAACGGCUUACCAAGGCAACGAUGCAUAGCCGACCUGAGAGGGUGAUCGGCCACACUGGAACUGAGACACGGUCCAGACUCCUACGGGAGGCAGCAGUAGGGAAUCUUCCGCAAUGGGCGAAAGCCUGACGGAGCAACGCCGCGUGAGUGAUGAAGGUCUUCGGAUCGUAAAACUCUGUUAUUAGGGAAGAACAUAUGUGUAAGUAACUGUGCACAUCUUGACGGUACCUAAUCAGAAAGCAACGGCUAACUACGUG
rnacentral:rRNA from 1 species